rnacentral:pre_miRNA from 1 species
CGUUUAAAACCUCUUGUCCGUAUUUUAAAAUUGUUCACGUUCCCUUUUUUUCGUUGUUUUUACCAUUUAAAGUUCGUGUUUUUUUUGUCUUUAGUCAUUCAAAAAAGUUUUUUUUACGUUAAAUCAACGUUCGCGUUUCACGACGUUUAAAAACGUCUCACUUUCAUUUUUACGACGCAUAGUUUUUUUUAUCGUAACGAUCACGUCAAAAAAGAGAAGGCCUGAUCGCAUUUUAAAAGGCGUUUUUUUUAUUAAUCA